rnacentral:rRNA from 1 species
UACGGGGGGUGCGAGCGUUGUCCGGAAUCACUGGGCGUAAAGGGCGCGUAGGUGGUUUGAUAAGGGUGUGGUGAAAGUCCGGGGCUCAACCCCGGAUCUGCCGUGCCGACUGUCAAACUCGAGGGCUGUAGAGGCAGACGGAAUUCCGGGUGUAGCGGUGGAAUGCGUAGAUAUCGGGAGGAACACCGGUGGCGAAGGCGGCGACCUGGGUCGAGACUGACGCUGAGGCGCGAAAGCGUGGGGAGGCAAACAAGGAUGAGAA